rnacentral:rRNA from 1 species
UACGUAGGGUGCAAGCGUUGUCCGGAAUUAUUGGGCGUAAAGAGCUUGUAGGCGGUUUGUCGCGUCUGCUGUGAAAUUUCGGGGCUCAACCCCGAACUUGCAGUGGGUACGGGCAGACUAGAGUGUGGUAGGGGAGACUGGAAUUCCUGGUGUAGCGGUGAAAUGCGUUGAUAUCGAUAGGAACUCCGGUGGCGAAGGCGGCAUACUGGGCCACUUCUGACGCUGAUGCGCGAAAGCCAGGGGAGCGAACGGG